rnacentral:rRNA from 1 species
UCGAGAAUAUUUCGCAAUGGGCGAAAGCCUGACGAAGCGACGCCGUGUGAAUGAUGAAGGCCUUCGGGUUGUAAAGUUCUGUUACCCGAGAACAAGAGUAUGUAGUGAAUAGCUAGGUACAAUGAGUGUAUCGGGGGAGAAAGCACCGGCUAAUUCCGUGCCAGCAGCUGCGGUAAUACGGAAGGUGCAAGCGUUAGUCGGAAUUACUGGGCGUAAAGGGUGCGUAGGCGGGAGCGUACGUCAGAUGUGAAAUUCCGGGGCUCAACCCCGGAGCUGCCUCUGAAACGGCGCUUCUUGAGGACUUGCGGAGAGAAUGGAAUUCCAUGUGUAGCGGUGAAAUGCGUAGAUAUAUGGAAGAACACCAGUGGCGAAAGCGAUUCUCUAGCAUAAUCCUGACGCUAAGGCACGAGAGCAAGGGGAGCAAACAGG